UUUAUGCUUUAUUAAGCUAGGUUAGGUUAAAUUAUGGAUCAAAGCUUGUGAUUUAUCUCAUUCUAGGUCCAACAUGGCCCAAAAUGUUGAAAUAAAUUAGUGUGGGUCCAAAUAGAGCCCAAUUAGGNUCUCAUUCUAGGUCCAACAUGGCCCAAAAUGUUGAAAUAAAUUAGUGUGGGUCCAAUUAGAGCCCAAUUAGGGUUCUAAGCCCAUGAUAGUCUAAUUGGAAGCUUAUUGGUCCACUUGGAUCCAAUAAGGAAGUUCUAGUCCAAAAUAGACUUAACAAGAACUUCUAAGGUUUUCCAAUUGUUUGAUGACUACUUGUAGUACUUGUGUAAUGUAUUUGAUUGAAGUUUUUGAUUCACAUUAACUUGAAUGUAUAGAUUACAUGGCUCAAAAUUUUCAGUUGUGAUACUCCAAUAUCUUAAUCAUGACAUAUUCAGCCCUUCCACCUCAUUUCCUUUUAAAUUAAAUUCAAAUAAUUACCACGGAGCCCCUGUCUUCAUAAAUAUUUAUAAAAUGAGUCCCAAACUCACGCUUUUAACCCCUGACUUCUAAAAAUGUGGCAAUUAACUCCUCGAACCCAACACCCUGC
rnacentral:lncRNA from 1 species